UAGGGAAUCUUCCACAAUGGACGAAAGUCUGAUGGAGCAACGCUGCGUGAGUGAAGAAGGGUUUCGGCUCGUAAAACUCUGUUGUUAAAGAAGAACAUAUCUGAGAGUAACUGUUCAGGUAUUGACGGUAUUUAACCAGAAAGCCACGGCUAACUACGUGCCAG
rnacentral:rRNA from 1 species